rnacentral:lncRNA from 1 species
CCAGACCCAUCGCGUACUCGAACCACUCCAAGAAAAGGAACUAUGACUGCCAGCCCACCAAGCAGAAAGUUCGAAGCAAAAACAAAACUUUACGAUUCUUUGUAAUAAUUCUCUUCUCUGAUAAUGCCUUAUUUUGCUUUUCUCCCACUGAAAACGAGAUUCUCUGUGUAUUGUUAGUGUAAGUUUUUCCUUCUACCUUCUUUCUCCUUCUUUAUGCCAUUUCUUUUGUUGCUUCGUAUAUUUUAAUCUUCUUUUUCUAGUGGGCCGCUCUUAUAAAAAUGGCUGACGUUUUAAUCAAGCAAAGGUGGCUGCGCGGGAUCCACCUGGGGCAGGUAAGGGGGUUGUUUGCUGCUCCCCAGGGGAUGAUUAUUUCCUGUCAGCCUGCUGAUUCUUGUUCUUCUCGCUCGGUAGACCCGUGGAGGCUCCAUCCAUGUCUGCUUACGUGAGUUGAGG